CUGUGGUGUUCCCUGAAACCAAAUAAGCUACUAUGAACUUCUGACCUACAAAAGAACAUGUUCUAUCCAGUUUGGAUUAAAGCUCCAUGAGAGCAAGGAUCUUGUCUGUUUUGUUCAGUGCUGUUAUGUCAACUACCUAAAACACUGCCUGGCUCUUGGAAGGUAUUGGGGAGCAGUAAAUAAAAGAAGUCAAAAAAGGAAUGAGAUGGUUUAUUACAGAUUAAAUUGAAGGCAGA